rnacentral:tRNA from 1 species
GCGGAAGUGGCGGAAUUGGUAGACGCACCAGAUUUAGGUUCUGGCGCCGCAAGGUGUGAGAGUUCAAGUCUCUCCUUCCGAACCC